rnacentral:rRNA from 1 species
UACAGGGGGGGCAAGCGUUGUUCGGAAUUACUGGGCGGAAAGGGUUCGUAGGUGGCUUACUAAGUCAGACGUGAAAUCCCUCGGCUUAACCGGGGAACUGCAUCUGAUACUGGAUGGCUUGAGUUUGGGAGAGGGAUGCGGAAUUCCAGGUGUAGCGGUGAAAUGCGUAGAUAUCUGGAGGAACACCGGUGGCGAAGGCGGCAUCCUGGACCAACACUGACACUGAUGAGCGAAAGCCAGGGGAGCAAACGGG